AGACCCGGCACCCGCGCAACGGAGGAGGGGCGCUGUGCCCUCUCCCCAACGGCGGUCAGCUUGGAACGCCUGCCCGGCGCACGCCCGGGGCCGGGGAGCCGAACUCGGUGCCAGCCGCACCCGGGCGGGUUGCUGGUGCGCCCUCCCCUCGCCCCCGUCCCUGGGGUCCUUGACCCAGGCUCUUGGGGCUAGCCUAUCUUCUGAGGAGCACAAGGUCCCUGGGGGCUCAGGGAAGAGAAAUUGGAGAAAGGGGGAGGAAGCCCCCAAGAUGGAUCACCCAUUGCCUGGUUUCGCAGGAGACUGUCCGCCUUCAGUUCUCCAGCAGCUCGGGGAUCAUGGCCCACUGAACCCCCAAGCGCUUUCACCCGAACCCAAGGAGGACGACCAGGAAAGACGGGAACUCGCGUAGACACGCCCGGAAGCCCUUGUCAUUUUGGAUAGAGAAGGAAAAGCUGGAAUUUGGGAAGUGAAGGUGGCCUCGGGGUAGAACUUACCUAGACCAGAGCGAAUUCAUCCUGAAGAACUCAGAGAAAGCCG
ensembl:lncRNA NKILA NF-kappaB interacting lncRNA